GAGUUUGAUCCUGGUUCAGAUUGAACGCUGGCGGCAUGCCUAACACAUGCAAGUCGAACGGCAGCACAGUGUGUAGCAAUACACAUGGGUGGCGAGUGGCGGACGGGUGAGUAAUGCAUAGGAAUCUGCCCAGUAGCGGGGGACAACCCGGAGAAAUCCGGGCUAAUACUGCAUACGCCCUACGGGGGAAAGCGGGGGACCGAAAGGCCUCGCACUAUUGGAUGUGCCUAUGUCGGAUUAGCUAGUUGGUAGGGUAAUGGCCUACCAAGGCGACGAUCCGUAGCUGGUCUGAGAGGACGAUCAGCCACACCGGAACUGAGACACGGUCCGGACUCCUACGGGAGGCAGCAGUGGGGAAUAUUGGACAAUGGGGGAAACCCUGAUCCAGCAAUGCCGCGUGUGUGAAGAAGGCCUGCGGGUUGUAAAGCACUUUCGGUGGGGACAAAAAGUGGCGGGAUAACACCCUACUAUCUUGAUUUAACCCAUAGAAGAAGCACCGGCUAACUCUGUGCCAGCAGCCGCGGUAAUACAGAGGGUGCAAGCGUUAAUCGGAUUACUGGGCGUAAAGC
rnacentral:rRNA from 1 species